rnacentral:rRNA from 1 species
UACGAGGGAUGCAAGCGUUAUCCGGAAUUAUUGGGCGUAAAGCGUUUGUAGGCGGGCGAGUGUGUUUAAUGUUAAAUCUUAAAGCUCAACUUUGAAAUUGCGUUAAAAACUGCUUGUCUUGAGUAUGGUAGGGGUAAAGGGAAUUCCCAGUGUAGCGGUGAAAUGCGUAGAUAUUGGGAAGAACACUAAACAGCGAAGGCACUUUACUAGGCUAAUACUGACGCUGAGAAACGAAAGGUAAGGUAGCGAAACGGAUUAGAUACCCGUGUAGUCUUACCCGUAAACUAUGGACACUAAACGGUAAAUUUUUAAUUUACUGUUAAAGCUAACGCGUUAAGUGUCCCGCCUGGGGAGUAUGCUUGCAAAAGUGAAACUCAAAGGAAUUGACGGGGGCCCGCACAAGCGGUGGAGCAUGUGGUUUAAUUCGACGGUACACGAAGAACCUUACCAGGAUUUGACAUGCUAGAUAGUUGCUUGAAAGAGUAACGUGCCGUAAGGAAUCUAGACACAGGUGGUGCAUGGCUGUCGUCAGUUCGUGUUGUGAAAUGUUGGGUUAAGUCCCGCAACGAGCGCAACCCUCAUUUUUAGUUGCCUUAUGGAACUCUAAAAAGACUGCCGGUUAUAAACCGGAGGAAGGCGGGGAUGACGUCAAGUCAGCAUGCCCCUUACACCCUGGGCUACACACGUGCUACAAUGGGUGAGACAAUGAGAUGCAAGUCUGCGAAGAUUAGCUAAUCUAGAAACUCAUUCUAAGUUCGGAUUGUAGGCUGCAACUCGCCUGCAUGAAGUUGGAAUCGCUAGUAAUCGCUGGUCAGCUAUACAGCGGUGAAUUCGUUCCCGGGCCU